CUCCAUGCACAUGCGCGCACACACACACACACAUCAGCAUUUCCUCCAGGUUGAGGAUGAUCUCAUCAUUACACACACACACACACUGGCAUUUCCUCCAGGUUGAGGAUGAUCUCAUCAUUACACACAUCAGCAUUUCCUCCAGGUUGAGGAUGAUCUCAUUAUCACACACACACACACACACACACACAUCAGCAUUUCCUCCAGGUUGAGGAUGAUCUCAUCAUUACACACACACUAGCAUUUCCUCCAGGUUGAGGAUGAUCUCAUCAUUACACACAUCAGCAUUUCCUCCAGGUUGAGGAUGAUCUCAUUAUUACACACACACACACACACACACACACAUCAGCAUUUCCUCCAGGUUGAGGAUGAUCUCAUCAUAACACACACACACACAUCAGCAUUUCCUCCAGGUUGAGGAUGAUCUCAUCAUAACACACACACACACACACAUCAGCAUUUCCUCCAGGUUGAGGAUGAUCUCAUCAUAACACACACACACACAUCAGCAUUUCCUCCAGGUUGAGGAUGAUCUCAUCAUUACACACACACACACAUCAGCAUUUCCUCCAGGUUGAGGAUGAUCUCAUCAUAACACACACACACACAUCAGCAUUUCCUCCAGGUUGAGGAUGAUCUCAUCAUUACACACACACAUCAGCAUUUCCUCCAGGUUGAGGAUGAUCUCAUCAUAACACACACACACACACAUCAGCAUUUCCUCCAGGUUGAGGAUGAUCUCAUCAUAACACACACACACACAUCAGCAUUUCCUCCAGGUUGAGGAUGAUCUCAUCAUAACACACACACACACACAUCAGCAUUUCCUCCAGGUUGAGGAUGAUCUCAUCAUAACACACACACGUGUAUCUUUUUAUAGAUACAAUCUGGCCGCACUGUACAAACACUAUGGGUAGCAAUUUUCUUUCAUCUCACGAGAGGGUAAAAUCUUAAUAGUGACACUUAACUUCUCUU